UGCCGUCUUGUGGGACAAUCUGCUGUCCAGGUCCAUACCUUGUGACAGGCGUCCCAGCAUGCAUCAUAGCAGUCACAUGCUGGCUCUGCAGAUGAAAUUGGAACCAUCAUGGUGAAGUGGUAAUUGGAACUGGCCCAUAUCUCACCUUGUGUGCACCGAAGGAGGUUUCAGUCCCUGGAUGAUGUGCUCACCCGAGUUCACGUCACAGGGACCAGGAGAACACACCGGAUGCAGAGGGGCGGGCUGGACGUGAGCACUACCUGUGUUAUGGUAACUGUAGUCUUGGCCCCCAGCUACAAGGGGCACUGCUGGCCGCAUGUCAGGCAUGACUGAUGGGGAGGGGAAGACCUGCUGUAUGUGGGUCUGCUCCAUUUCUGCUCCACUGGAGCCAAGUAGGUCAACAUGUGGGCUCAGCCUUGUCCCAGUCACUUCCCCACAGUCAGACAAGUCGUCUGCUUCUGAUUCCACGGCAAACAAAAGGGAAACCAAAACAGUUACCGUAUCUUUUCCCGCUCCCUAGCACAGUAGAGAUAAGGAGGAGGGUCAAGUCGCCACGCACACCCGCAGUUCUGAUGCUUGAGCCAUAAGGAACCGGCUACCCUUGGAGUCAGUGUGGGACCAGUGAAAGAAUGAUGAGAGACUUGAGCAUUACCUGAACAAACCGUGUUCUCCUCGUAGGCCAAUGUGCAGUCCUCAGCCGUGGGCUGGUGAGGCAUACUACAACCAUUGGUCCCCAUCUGAGCAAAUACAUAUGUUCAGGGCCUAGGCUAACGUGUUCCAUGUGCUGUUAAGAGGUGAGAUUCAAUGACAAUAGCAAGAACCAAUUUCUGAACGAUUCACCUUGUUUGACACUGUAACUUUGUAGAGGUAAAUAUAAGUGUACAGUUGGAACACAAUGAAGUGACAGACAUCAUUUGCCAAUCAGAACCCAGACCUUUUAAAGAUCGUUGCACUCCACACAGAGUAAA